rnacentral:rRNA from 1 species
UACGUAGGGUGCAAGCGUUAAUCGGAAUUACUGGGCGUAAAGCGUGCGCAGGCGGUUAUGUAAGACAGGUGUGAAAUCCCCGGGCUUAACCUGGGAACUGCAUUUGUGACUGCAUAGCUAGAGUACGGUAGAGGGGGAUGGAAUUCCGCGUGUAGCAGUGAAAUGCGUAGAUAUGCGGAGGAACACCGAUGGCGAAGGCAAUCCCCUGGACCUGUACUGACGCUCAUGCACGAAGCGUGGGGAGCAACAGG